AGUUUUCCAAUGUACUGCCCGCCUUUUAUUUCAAAUUCAUGCUGUUUUUUUUUCUUCAAUUGUUGUUAUUGUUGUUGCAGUGUGUGUGUUUUCAUAUGUGUGCAAGUGCAUGUGUUUAUGUGAAUGGGUGUGUGUGUAUGUGUGCUUACAGGUGUGUCUUUAUGUGUGUGUGCAUGUGUGCUUGUGUUGGGGAUAUGUGUGUAGGACAGAAGCCAACCUGAGCUGCUGUUUCUACAUAACUUUCUACCUUAUUUACCUCUUAUUGGCCUGGAGCCCUCCUUUAUGCCUAAGCUGGGGACAGCCAAGCUCAGAGAUGAUCCUGUCCCUCUGGGACUUGUCCUCAGUGCUAGGAUUACAGGCAUUCACAGUGCCUCACUCAGCAUUCUUAUUCUGACCCUGAGAAUCAAACUGAACUUCUAAUUCCCACUAAACAAUUAUUUUACUGAGAAUCUUUCAGAUCCUUGUUCAGUUGCUUUAAACAGGGGCUAAGUGAUCAACUCUGAGUGCCCUAGACCUGGUCCUCUUGCCAAGGCAUCAGUGGCUUUGGGAUUGCAGGUAUGGGUCACACAGCUACUGACAUUUUAUUCUAAAACUAAAACAUUGUAGACUGUUUUACCACCUCUAUCUCUUCAAUUCCUCCCCCCACCCCAUUUGAUGUUUUGUGAUGCAACUGUGACUGUGAUGGUGUUGUGAGCCCUUAGGAGAAGUCCGACCACAGAGAUUCCAUUAAAAGACAGUUUCCAGCAUGCUUUUUCCAACAGUUAUUAGUACAGUGUGGCUAUUGUCUGUCUUCCACAGUACCAGCUUUCAAAGACUUGUCAACAAAGCUGACAACUCUGAGAACGGUCAACCUUUAGGCAUUGGGACCUGGUGGCAGGCAGCUAGGUUAUUGAGGAAUGUCUUGAAGAAAUAGGACCCUGGCUCUUCCCUCACACUUUUUGCCUCUAGACCACUGGCAGAACAGUUUUAGUUUGCACCACACAUGACAGCCUCAAAGCCAAGGCGCCAGUCAGGACAAAUCAAUAGAACUGUGAAGGAGAGCAGCCAUUUGUAUGUACCUGUGUCGUAUCUCAGAGAGUUUCAGAGUAAAGGAAUGAUUAAGAGCACUGAGAAGGGCCACACCUUUGCAAGACAGUCUGGUGUAAGCUCCGGGAAUACCCAUUUCUCUAAGAAGAUUCCUGCAACACUCACAGCUAAUUGUUUUUUUCUUUAGGAUUCUCUAACAACUCACAGCCUCACUUGGGCAUCUGAGAGAGAGCGUCAUUAUCACCUGGGAUAGAGAAGCAUUGCCUUGAACUUUUUAUUACCUGGAGAUGUUUGCUAUCCUGCCAGUUUUACCUUGCAGGUUCUUCUCUGUGCUUGAUUGGAAAGGAAUGGUCCUGAUAUUGCUACCAGAGUUUCCAGUGCUACCUCAGACCCAAUCAUUUAGUUGACUUCAGUGAUAAGCUUAGGGUCAUGAACUAGGUGAGGUCUUUUAACACUCCUUAGCUUCAUUGGUCUUGAUAGACCAUUUAAGAGGCAAAGUUGGUGUUUGAUACCCCAAGUAAACAGAGGGACUUCCUUGUGAGGGAUCUUUUUAGUGACAAAGGGAAUUCACAUCAUUACCAUGUCAACUCACUAACAAUGAUACAAAAUGAUAGUAUGUAGCAUGUGUACAUCUCAUGUGGGAAGAGCAAAGUUGGCAAUGCACUACACAUGAUCACCAUGGCAUCUUCCCAGAGGAUCUGUGUCCAAUUUCUAGAGGAUCUGCAUUCGGCUCUGCAGAAGAUCUGUGUCCAAUUCCUAGUGUGCACAUGGCAGCUAACAACUUUCUACAACUUCAAUUCCAGGGGUUCUGACCAUGUCUUCUGGACUCCUCAGGUAAUGCAUGUCUAUGGUAUACAGACAUAUAUGCAGGCACAACACUAAUACACACACACACACACACACACACACACACACACUAAAUAAGUAAAUAAAUACUUUUUAAAAUAGUUUAAAGCAGCUAGUUAGGAGGUUGAGCCAAGAGGAUCUCUUGAAUGGCAAAAGUUUAAGGCCAGCCUUGACAACAGAGAUAGACAUAAUGCAAACAUAAGAGGGGAAUGAGGACAAGAAGAAGGGAAGGUAGAAGGAAUCAUCCUGGCAGAGGAAGCCCUGAGUUGAACUGGGGUUGGAUGUUUUCAGCUAAGAUUUAAUCACAUAAUUGAAUCUGUAAGGUCUCCACUGGCUUUCAACAGUUCUCCCUUUGAUCCUUUGUAGUGGAGGAGUAAAAGUGGGUAGUGUGAUUUAUUUUUAAGCUUUUUGCAUCUUCCAAAGACAGUUAUUAUGACCAGAGAGAUUUCUCUUUCCGUGAUGAAAAAUAGAGCACUCCACCCUUUCCCUGCAGUUCAUUGAUCUUGUGUUUAUACUCUGGGACUCAGAGUUCCUGAGGCCCACUCCACAUCUUCAGCUUUCUUUUCUAAGGUGGGAGACUUUAGUAAGAACACUAAGAGGAACCUAUACAAUGCCAACAAGAGGAACAAGAUAUUCUGUAUCUGAUAGCUCAGACUUCUGUUUCUCAUGCAUCUUGGGCUGACCCUGAGUUCACCCUGUAGUCAGGAUGCCCUUAGUCUACUGAUGCCCUGCCUCCUCCUCCGAAAGCUUGGAAUCACGAUGAGCACUUAGGUGCCCUGCUUAACGUUAAGAUUCUUAGAGGGCUCCAGAUAAACCAGCUGUGAACAAGUCAACACCACAAUAACAAUGACACCAACAAUCGUAACCACAAUGGGAAGACAGUGAAGAGGAAGAUAGCAGUGACCCUUGGGAGAGAAGUACCUACCUAACACCUGCAGCUCUUCAUAGCUCGGCCUAAGCCUUUCAACCUCUUUGUUGCAGCUGAGACAGGAGACCCCUAAUUACAAGCCUCCAACUCCUUGCAUGCAAGAACCAAGCAGCAGACAACUACUUGGAGUUAUCCAAUUCCACAGUGGAGAAAGCUUUCUAAUGUAGAAAAUAUGAAAAUUAACACUUACUUAAAAAUGAGACUCUGGAAACCUUGAUGCUGAAUGAAGAAUUAACAUUAAAAUCUUAGUGUUUUCUUGAA